rnacentral:rRNA from 1 species
AACGAACGCUGGCGGCAUGCCUAACACAUGCAAGUCGAACGAGACCUUCGGGUCUAGUGGCGCACGGGUGCGUAACACGUGGGAAUUUGCCUCGGGGUAUGGAAUAACUCAGGGAAACUUGAGCUAAUACCAUAUAAUGUCUUCGGACCAAAGAUUUAUCGCCCUGAGAUAAGCCCGCGUAGGAUUAGCUAGUUGGUGGGUAAAGGCUCACCAAGGCGACGAUCCUUAGCUGGUCUGAGAGGAUGAUCAGCCACACUGGGACUGAGACACGGCCCAGACUCCUACGGGAGGCAGCAGUGGGAAUAUUGGACAAUGGGCGAAAGCCUGAUCCAGCAAUGCCGCGUGAGUGAUGAAGG